rnacentral:rRNA from 1 species
UACAGAGGUCUCAAGCGUUGUUCGGAUUCAUUGGGCGUAAAGGGUGCGUAGGUGGCGCGCUAAGUCAGGUGUGAAAUCUCGGGGCUUAACUCCGAAACUGCAUUUGAUACUGGCGUGCUUGAGGACUGGAGAGGAGACUGGAAUUCAUGGUGUAGCAGUGAAAUGCGUAGAGAUCAUGAGGAAGACCAGUGGCGAAGGCGCUACACUAGAACGGCUCUGACAGUGAGGGACGAAGCCCUGGGGAGCAAACCGG